rnacentral:lncRNA from 10 species
AUCAUUUGAUGUUUUAAAUUAGAAUCAUAUCAAACCCAAUAUUAUCAUAUUUAUUAAACAUAUGCCAAAUUUAGUGUACCCUCAGAAGUUUUAUUGCAGACACAUCCAUUUUUCAUUAAAAUCUACAUCUUUUUGAAAUAAACUUUAGCAUUCAUCAUAAUUUAUUGCAUGCCACAAAAGGGUACAUAAUUAUUUUUCAAAAGAAGAAAAUUAACAUAAUAAGUAUAUUGCCUUAUAUCUUUGCAGAUCAUUCACCCUGAAUUACAGACUCACCCAUGUUGGGGGAGAACUUAUAUGUAAUCUAAAACAACUUUCUUGAUAGCUUUGAAAGAAAAAUGAAUCCAACUUGUGACUUCAGCAAUUACCUUAGCCUAAAAAUGAUAUAAAUAAUACACAAUAUAUAUCAUGUUUUCUAAUAUAUUAAAAUAAUACUGUAAUAUGACUACAGUGACCAUAAAACUAACUGUCUUAGUGGGAUAUAUUAUACAGUGAACAGGGAAACUGUUGUGAAUUUAGUCUUGAUACUGUGUAAAAUGAAACAUCUGGACAUACAAUCAUCCUAGCUCUCAACUCCCUUGAUAGGAAUCCUCUGUUUGUGUUCAUGUUGGCUUAUUUUUUAAUUGUUGUUUUUGAAAUAUUGUGUGUUGCAUUUUAGAUUUAAGGCAAUUUGGGGGUAAAAAUAAAAUUUUUAGAUUGUUUUUAUGACUGUGGAAUACAAAAGGUGUCUAUUUUAUAAGUUUAAAAAUUUCUACUCCCAUACCAUAUAAAAGGAAAACCACUACAUUAUUUUAUGAUGCAAACAUCAUAUUUUUAAAAAAUCAAUUUGUAAAUGAAUCACAUGCUAACUUGUUCAAAAUCCUGGGAGGAAAGUGAUGGCAAACACCAACUGGUAACUGAAUAGCAUUUAUGGAAAAGAUGGUUACUAAAGUGUGGGUAGGGCUAAGGGAAACAUCAAAGGGUGCUGAAGCAUCCAGCAUCUCGCAAUACUGGCAAACUUUUAACCCUCCUUAGGACUGAAAAAUUACAGGGAAGGAGCAUCCAGAAUAAAUAUCCCUAUGUAUCUUUUUACUUCUUUCUUAUCAGCUGUUGAUGCUAGCCAUUGACCAACAUCAGCUAGAAGCAGAGAGCAAGAGAACUCAAAUGGAACACUGGGACAACAUCAGGCACAGGACACACAGAAAGAUAAAGAAAUGUGAUUAGAUUUGGGGGGCAAAACAGAAUAUUCAACACACAUGCUAAGAUAGGGCAACUUGCUCUGAAAGAAAACAAAGCUAGAUCUACUUUUGAAGAUUUAUAUUUAUAGCCUGGAAUUAUUUCUCAACCUAAAAUAUUAAGAUUAUGUAUAUAUUUUUAAAUAUUUUUAGUUUGGAAUGUAAGAUUAACUCUUGUGGAUAUGAACUUAGCUUGUUUUUGUAGCUGGUUUUGUAGCUUUGUUUUCAACAACCCAUCACAGGUUAAGUAGUUGCAAUAGUAAAGUUUCAUCUGGAAAAGUUUGCAUAUGUAAGUGGGGUAAUUGCUAAAAGAAAGUUGGAUAAAUGGACCAUUUCCAAAGUUGUGCGUAAGGAAAGGGAAAACUGACAAAGAGCAGCAAAGUACUUAGCCUUUGCAAUACCAGGAAGCAGAGGGAGAUAAAGGGAGUGGUCACAUAACCUGAAGAGGCUAUCUCACAAGCAAUACCACCUCCCAUAGAGGGACAUGGAUAACUCAUGGCAAAAGGAUCAACUGCGAGCAAUGUGAAUGCUUGAUAUACUUGAGCUUCCUUUACAACACCUCCACGAUUCCAAGAUGUUGACUGGCUUCCCACUACUAAGGAAAAUGGUAUCACAAGUAGCCAUGGCUAAUCCAGCACCAUUCACAAAGCAGUUUGAACGGCGAAGAUGUCCAAGUCCAUGCUAACAGAAAGGAGCAGAUCUCAGGAACCUGAAGAAACUGGCACACAAUAGAAUCUAUAAAAGUUCAGAAAUGGAGGUCAUAUAUGUCUGAGAUUGGAUGCUGCCUACCCACAUUGAAGAUGGACCUUUCCCAAUUAAUCCAUCAGACUGGGAAAUACAGAAAGGAGAAUAAAAAGAAAAAGAAACGAAAAUCCACCCAGUCUCCCACACUAAUCUCUUCUGGAAACAUUCUCACAGACACACCCAAACAUAGUGCUUUACCAGGUUUUUAGGUACUCCUUCCAGUCAAAUCAACACCUAAAAUUAAUCUUUACAAGCCCAACCCUUGUCAACUGGCAUCCAUACACAUCUUCCUAAGCCAUACUCUUCAAAUAAAAACAAUAAUAAAGUAUUAGUUUUGCUUAACAUGAAGCUCUGUAAAACCAAAAACUCAUUAGUCCUGUCUUCAGAAGAGGAGGUACUCUUUGAGUGAUGUUUACUCUUCUCCUGAUAUCCCCUUUCUUAAAUACAAUGACAUAAAAUUAACAAUACUUAAAUACUUAUAUAAAUGCAAUUAAUAUUAUGUUAUGAUAAAGCAAUGAGAGAAGCAAAACUAAAGAUAUUUGCUUAAUAUAUGUACACAUAUGCACAGAUGUAUUCCUAACAAAACCAGGAGAAAAUACUUAGAACAAAUUACAGUCCUCAUUUCUGCAACUGGUCAUCUGAUUGUAGCUGGUAUUUAUAACUAUCUUCUUCUACUAUUCAUUCUGUAUUCCCUUUGUCUCCAGCAAGCACCUUAGCCAGUCAUGGUUCUUUACCUGGUGGGGUGACCCAAGGCUGCAUUCCUGAAGAGUCUGAGCUAUUCAUAGUCUUGCCUGAAUUGGAUUAUUACAGUUUCCCAUUGACCUUAAUCACACAGCAUAAUUGUAAGAUUCUCCCUGGGGCCUGAAAGCUUAAGGGGAUGAGUAACUCCUGCCUUCUCAGGCCCGGUCUUCAAAGUGUAAGGCCACUUGCAUCAGCAGCAUGUGUCAGUAAGAUAGCAAAAGCAGGAAGAGAGCCAGUCAGAAGACAGCUACCCUGGCUGGAAGACACGUACCCCUGAAGAUCGAGAAAGGCCAUCCGCGUACCACACAGCAGUUACGUCAGACUAGGACACUUCCUGUUUACAAGAGACUAUAAAAUCUUUGCCCCGUCUUCACUUGGGGCUGACGCCAUUUUAGACCUCAGCCCGCGUGCACCCAGGCACUCAUUAAAACAGCGUGUUACUCCACACUGCCUUGUGUUGUCUGUUGGCACGCUCUCAGGGUUUGAACGGAUAGAAGAACCUUACAAUAAUAGUACAAGACAAGCCCUAAGGGAUCUUCUGUAUUUCAGACAUGCUAUUUCUUACCUACAUUGUGGAAUAAUAGUCCAAUAUUUCCUUUGUAGUCCAGGUAAAUCACCCCAGCCACCACCAUAAUUCCUUUCUUAGCCUGUUGUCUCAGAGGAGCCCAAAGUGGCAAAGUGGCAGCCUUACAUUCCAGUUAAAUGGAAUCAUUGUUGUUUCUCCUGAUGGAAGCAUCCCUCUCUUUCGAAGUAAGACCCCUAGGCCAGCAGUAUAUAAAGCUGUGGGAACAGGGAAUAAAAAAUUUGCUAAUACAUCACUAGGGUCAAUUGUGAGUGGUUUCAUUUUUAUUGCACCCCUUGAUUCCUGGACCCCUGAAUCCUGGUUAUGGGAGAAAGAGUACUAUGUAUCGGGAGCCGAUUUAGAGCACAUGAAGCCUUCUAA